rnacentral:rRNA from 1 species
UACGUAGGGGGCAAGCGUUGUCCGGAAUCAUUGGGCGUAAAGAGCGUGUAGGCGGCUCGGUAAGUCCGCUCUGAAAGCCCGGGGCUCAACCCCGGGAGGCGGGUGGAUACUGUCGAGCUCGAGUCCGGAAGAGGCAAGUGGAAUUCCCGGUGUAGCGGUGAAAUGCGCAGAUAUCGGGAGGAACACCAAUGGCGAAGGCAGCUUGCUGGGACGGUACUGACGCUGAGACGCGAAAGCGUGGGGAGCAAACAGG